rnacentral:rRNA from 1 species
GAUCAGGCCUUUCGGGGUACACGAGCGGCGAACGGGUGAGUAACACGUGGGUGAUCUGCCCUGCACUCUGGGAUAAGCUUGGGAAACUGGGUCUAAUACCGGAUAUGACCACAUGCCGCAUGGGGUGUGGUGGAAAGAUUUAUCGGUGCAGGAUGGGCCCGCGGCCUAUCAGCUUGUUGGUGGGGUAAUGGCCUACCAAGGCGACGACGGGUAGCCGACCUGAGAGGGUGACCGGCCACACUGGGACUGAGACACGGCCCAGACUCCUACGGGAGGCAGCAGUGGGGAAUAUUGCACAAUGGGCGGAAGCCUGAUGCAGCGACGCCGCGUGAGGGAUGAAGGCCUUCGGGUUGUAAACCUCUUUCAGCAGGGACGAAGCGUGAGUGACGGUACCUGCAGAAGAAGCACCGGCUAACUACGUGCCAGCAGCCGCGGUAAUACGUAGGGUGCGAGCGUUGUCCGGAAUUACUGGGCGUAAAGAGUUCGUAGGCGGUUUGUCGCGUCGUUUGUG